rnacentral:rRNA from 1 species
UACGUAGGGGGCAAGCGUUAUCCGGAUUUACUGGGUGUAAAGGGAGCGUAGACGGCAUAGCAAGUCUGAAGUGAAAGCCCGCGGCUCAACUGCGGGACUGCUUUGGAAACUGUUAAGCUAGAGUGCUGGAGAGGUAAGUGGAAUUCCUAGUGUAGCGGUGAAAUGCGUAGAUAUACGGAGGAACACCAGUGGCGAAGGCGGAUUGCUGGACAGUAACUGACGUUGAGGCUCGAAAGCGUGGGGAGCAAACAGG